rnacentral:lncRNA from 1 species
UUCUAUCCACCAAACAGAAGCAAAAUCAGUGAACUCAUUAGUAGCACACACGUGUAUUUUUAGGAAAUUCAUGACAUGCAAGCUUUUGAUCAACAACAAUUUCCCAAGUAAUGUAUGCUUCAGGAUCAUAUUUACCAUCAAAAGGAGGUAUCUUAAAUUUUAUCUUACUGAAAGCAUCAUCAUUAUUAUGUACCUCACAUCGUUGGUAACCACCCAUACCUCUUUGAUUAUUACGUAGCCGUCGGCGAUUAUGAGCGUCUGGGUCAUUUUGUUCAGUAUCAGCAUCCCAAUUGUCCUCGACACGCUC